AUUGCCUGCCUCUAGAGGCCUUGCAGAUGUGGCUGCCUUGCAGAUGUGGCUGCCAUGUGUGACAGUAGGUUGCAGAGAGGAGAGAAGCUACAUCUAUGGUCAAUAUUCUGACCUAUUUAUUACAUCUGAAUGAUGAUUAGCCUAACAUU
rnacentral:snoRNA from 1 species